rnacentral:rRNA from 1 species
CCCUUAGAUGUUCUGGGCCGCACGCGUGCUACACUGAGUAAAUCAAUGGGUAAGGGAGCACGAAAGUGCAACCUAAUCUUGAAAUUUGCUCGUGAUGGGGAUCGACGGUUGCAAUUUUCCGUCGUGAACGAGGAAUACCUUGUAGGCGCGUGUCAUCAUCACGCGCCGAAUACGUCCCUGCCCUUUGUACACACCGCCCGUCGCUCCUACCGAUUGAGUGAUCCGGUGAGGCUCUGGGACCUGGACGGAAAGAGCGUUUCGCUUGUUCUGUUUGGGAAACUUGGUCGAACCUUAUCAUUUAGAGGAAGGAGAAGUCGUAACA